rnacentral:rRNA from 1 species
UACGAAGGGGGCUAGCGUUGUUCGGAUUUACUGGGCGUAAAGCGCACGUAGGCGGAUCGUUAAGUGAGGGGUGAAAUCCCAGGGCUCAACCCUGGAACUGCCUUUCAUACUGGCGAUCUUGAGUCCGGAAGAGGUGAGUGGAACUCCUAGUGUAGAGGUGGAAUUCGUAGAUAUUAGGAAGAACACCAGUGGCGAAGGCGGACUCAC